AGAGAGCUACAGUUGUGAAUUACGUUUUUUUAUUUACUACUAUAUAACCAUAAUAUUAAUAAUAAAUAAUAAUCUAGUUUUUUUACGGAAUCUUGAUGUUUUUAGGCAACCCAUCUAGGUUUUUCCAUAUCUAGUGAGUGGCAACACUGGCCACAGAAGAAGAAGAGGAAGACGAGAUGCCCGCCGUCCUUUCCCUCCCACACGAAAAGGAGACAGUUCAAGGGCGUGAAGAAAAAAGGAGAAAACAAUUAUGAAAAAAAAGCCUGAUACUUGCUGCUCCUGAAUAGAGUACAUAGGAGUGGCCAAAAAGAGAGGUCAAUUUCGGGAGGAGAGGUGUCCUAUUGUCACUACUGUGUGGUCGGCCAGCACCACAAAGGUGUAAUAAAGCCCACAGCAGCCAGACGCACCAGCAUGAGUGUGAGGGAGACAAAAACUGCCUUGGUUUUUAAUUUGGGAGAGAGUCUUUUUUUUUCCUUCAUGGUUUGGUCAGGCUGUGAGUCUCCCAGCCUUGCCGAUGGAAGAGUCUCCUCCCCGGCCUUCCUCCUCCCUUGCACCUCCACAACUCCUCUGGAAGGUGGAGAGGGAGGACACUAAUGCUGCCUGCUCAGUGUGGGCCCCAAACACCUACAUGCCAAGGAAGAGAACAUGAAGGUGACGGCAAUGAGAGAGGAGGAGGCAGAAGACGAGGGAAUGAUUCAAAUGCUGUGGAAGAGAGCUCUCUCGGAACUGUCUUGAAGAGGGUGUCCCACUCGCCUCCCUCACAUGGGGUCUGAAGGAUUAAAGAUAAAGGCAGGAGUCCUGAUGCGGCGCGGGGGCUUCGUGGUGCAGUGGUUAGCACACUCGGCUCACAACCGAGAGAGCCCGAGUUCGAUUCCCGGGCGGAGUGGAAAAACUUGGGUGGCUUUUCCGAUACCCUAUGCCCCUGCCCACCCAGCAGUGAUUGAGUACCAGAGAUAAGAAGAAGAGGAAGAGGAGGAGGAGGAUGAUGAAGGGACACACAGGAAUCAAUUGAGAUAAGAAGAAGAGGAAGAGGAGGAGGAUGAUGAUGAAGGGACACACAGGAAUCAAUUGCUCCGGAAAACGUCGAAAGGAAGAACCAAAGGAAGGAAGGAAGACCAUCUCAGAAGACCCCAGAGUCAGCCCCUACAGUCCAUCAUAGUCCAAGAAAUAGCUGAAGGAAGUCCCAAGUCCAAGCAACCUUCCUUUCUUUCUGAUUCAAGUUGCCUUUACCUUCAGUGAGGGGGCAAGGCGACCAUGGACCUCUCCCUUCCCUUCCUUUUCUUUCCUUUCCUUUCCUUUCCCUCCCUUCCUUCCUUUCCCUUCCCUUCCCUUCCUUCCUUUCCCUUCCCUUCCUUUUCUUUCCUUUCCUUUCCCUUCCUUCCUUUCCCUUUCCUGUCCCUUCCCUUCCCUUCCCUGUCAUCAGCCACACUGUGUCUGCCAUCCAUGCCUUGCAGCAGGCCAGCCAUGAGUUUGAUCCUUUGACAUCCUCUUGCUCUUCUUCCUUCCAAGCAAGCAGUCACUCUCUCCUCCUCAGCACAUGACCCAGAAGCUUCACUUGUCUUAUGCUUUUCAUCAAGUGCCUGGCUGCUGCUGCUCUUUGUCAUAGAGUUAAGUUGUCAUUAUCUUAGUUAGUUAGUUAGAAGUCCAGAUAAUUGUUGUAGCUAAACCCAAGACUCCUGUCCCUCCCUCUCCACCGGUCCCCCAAAUUCCCAGUCUGCGGAGGUCCGGAUAAAAGUUGUAUGGGCAAGACUCCUGUCCCUCCCUCUCCACCGGUCCGCCAAGUUCCCAGUCUGCGGAGGUCCGGAUAAAUAUUGUAUGGGCAAGACUCCUGCCCCUCCCUUCCUCUCCCUCUCCACCUGUCCCCCAAGUUCCCAGUCUGCAGAGGUCCAGAUAAAUGUUGUAUGGCCCUGUCCCUCCCUCUCCUUCCCUCCCUUCCUCUCCCUCUCCACCUGUCCCCCAAGUUCCCAGUCUGCAGAGGUCCAGAUAAAUGUUGUAUGGGCAAGACUCCUGUCCCUCCUUCCCUCCCUUCCUCUCCCUCUCCACCUGUCCCCCAAGUUCCCAGUCUGUGGAGGUCCAGAUAAAUGUUGUAUGGGCAAGACUCCUGUCCCUCUCUCUCCUUCCCUCCCUUCCUCUCCAUCUGUCCCCAAAGUUCCCAGUCUGUGGAGGUCCGGAUAAAUGUUGUAUGGGCAAGACUCCUUCCCUCCCUCUCUUUCCCUCCCUUCCUCUCCCUCUCCCCCAAGUUCCCAGUCUGCGGAGGUCCAGAUAAAUGUUGUAAGGGCAAGACUCCUGUCCCUCCCUGUCCCUUCCUUUCCAGUCUUUCUCUCUUGUUCCAUUAUUUAUUUUCUCUCCCUCUUGCAUUGCUCUCUCUCCCUGCUUUCAUCUCCUCUCCCUUCAGCCAUAUUAUCGUCUUCCUUCUAAUCCUUAUCAUUUUCUCUUUCCCUUUUACAUCUGGUUUAUUUCCUUCACUCUCUCUCUCUCUCUCUCUCUCUCUCUCUCUCUCUCUCUCUCUCUCUCUCUCUCUCUCUCUCUCUCUCUCUCUCUCUCUCUCUCUUCAAACCCAUUGGAAUAACAAUAAUAAUAACACACAUUGCAAUUCCAUCUUUAUUUAUCAAUAGAACAGCACACACACACACAGGGGAGGUCAUGUGGCUAUCUAUGGUGUGGGUUGGGUUGCUGUCUAAGAGGGCAUGUGUCUGUAGGGGUUAUAAACAUCCUGUUGACCUUAUGACCUGAGAGAGAGAGAGAGAGAGAGCGAGAGAGAGAGAGCGAGAGAGAGAGAGGGGUCCUGUUAUGUGGCUGGGGGUUAUGUGUCUGUGGGGAUUGUCAACAUACUGUGGUGGGACAUCCUGUGGGCUGAGGUGAGGUAUAUAUAUAUAUAUAUAUAUAUAUAUAUAUAUAUAUAUAUAUAUAUAUAUAUAUAUAUAUAUAUAUAUAUAUAUAUAUAUAUAUAUAUAUAUAUAUAUAUAUAUAUAUUCCUUCUUCAACAUCUCCAGGACUUGUUCAAUCUCCCAGGUGAUCUCUUCUCCUGACACUGCCACAUCAAGAGGAAGAGGAGGAGGAGGAAAGAGAGAGAGGAGGUACUCUAUGUGUGUAUAUAUGUAUGUCUGUGUAUAAGGUUCCAUAGGCUAGAUCUUCCCCCGGCCUUCUAUGGCUCAAAUUAUGCCCCCACAGAAGGGUUCGGGGAGGAGCCAGUCUGUGGAACCUGAUUGGACGUUGUCAAAAUAUAUAUUAAUAAAGUUUUUGAAAUUAAGAAGAAAUUGUGUGUUUUACUGUGUGUGUGUGUGUGUGUGUGUGUGUGUGAGAGAGAGAGAGAGAGAGAGAGAGAGAGAGAGAGAGAGAGAGAGAGAGAGAGAGAGAGAUUACUUCUCCUUCUUCUGUUCCUCUUGUUAUCUCUUCCUCCUCCUCUUCUUCCUCCAAAUCUGUGAAUACAAAUUUUUAUUAAUGGAAUGAAAUGGAAGAGAGAGAUUUAAAGGAGAGAAAAGGAAAGAAGGAAAUGGGUAUAAAUUUGAUGAACGGAGGAGGAAGAGUAAGUAGAAGGAGAGGGAGAGAGGAAGGAAUGAGAAAGAGAGAGAGAAACAUACAUUUAGAGAGAGUAGACCUGACAGCCUUACACACACACACACACACACAAAGAUACACAGAUGAUGCUCAAAUAGACAGGUAAAGCACAAGACAUUAUUAAUUAAGUAAGUUACCUUAGGAAAGAAUUAUAUUGUUAUAGUAUGAGACAGAUAUUAUUAUAGCAUGAGAGAGAGAGAGAGUCAGUCACAAAUAUCUCUCUCUCUCAUAUAGAUAGAUAGAUAUAAUGUACUACAGCACAAAGCCCACCAAUAUAUACUUAACCCCUUGACUGCAGAUUUCCUACAAGACAACAUCUCUAAGCUACAGCAAUGGAUCAAAAAGUGGCUGCUACAAUUCAAUGAAGAAAAAUCUAAUGUCUUGCACCUUGGGAGGGGAUACCCAGCACACCAAUACCACAUGGGAAACACUCCACUAUCCACCACAGAGAAAGACCUGGGAGUGUAUGUUACCAGGCUACCAGUGAAGGGAUAUCCAGCACACCAAUACCACAUGGGAAACACUCCACUAUCCACCACAGAGAAAGACCUGGGAGUGUAUGUUACCAGGCUACCAGUGAAGGGAUAUCCAGCACACCAAUACCACAUGGGAAGCACUCCACUAUCCACCACAGAAGCAGAGAAAGACCUGGGAGUGUAUGUAACCAGGCUACCAGUGAAGGGAUAUCCAACACACCAAUACCACAUGGAAAACACCCCACUAUCCACCACAGAGGCAGAGAAAGACCUGGGACUAUAUGUUACCAGGCUACCAGUGAAGGGAUAUCCAACACACCAAUACCACAUGGAAAACACCCCACUAUCCACCACAGAGGCAGAGAAAGACCUGGGACUACAUGUUACCAGGCUACCAGUGAAGGGAUAUCCAACACACCAAUACCACAUGGAAAACACUCCACUAUCCACCACAGAGGCAGAGAAAGACCUGGGAGUGUAUGUUACCAGGCUACCAGUGAAGGGAUACCCAGCACACCAAUACCACAUGGAAAACACUCCACUAUCCACCACAGAGGCAGAGAAAGACCUGGGAGUAUAUGUUACCAGGCUACCAGUGAAGGCGAAAUCCGUGCCAAUCACAGCGGACGGGUUAAUGAACCUGAAAUGAAAUGAAUUAUAGGCAUUUGAAAAGCAAUAGAUCGCUUGAGUAGGACCUGACUACACUGUUUGAUGCAAGGUUGUUUUUUUGCGAGCUUGUAUGCUGUAUUAUCCAUGCUGAUCAGAAUGUUUGCAAUUUAUAAAGACUGAGUUGUUUUUUUGUAUACAUAAACAUUCAUGUAUAUCAUUGAAAAAUCAGCUUGGGUAUCUAUUUCAAGAGCUGAUUUUCAUGUAUUCAAGGAGUAGAAAUGCACAGGUGCCACAUCUGUCAAAAGUCCCACUUUGUUGGUGGACAGAUGGAAUGAAACAAGACUAUAGUUGGUCACCAUAACACACCACCCAAAUGCUCACCCAUAAACUGUCCCUAAAUUACAGUCUGACGCACACACCAACACACACACACACAGGAGUUACAGUGACAGUGAUGAUAAAUGAAAUACUAAAUAAAUGGUAAUGAGCUGGUGCUGAAUGAGUACUUUUAUUCUGUUACUGUUUGGUUGGUUGGUGACCAUUAUGAUACACUGCCUGACAAGUUACUCAACACUAAAGGAGGAGGAUUGUUUACCUAGUAAAAACAUACGGCAAGUUGGCAACAUUACCGCAAGGAUUAAUUAAUCUCACUUGUCAGUUCAUACUUAUAAAUUUAUAAUAAUGUAGGAUUUUUUUUUGGUAUACAUAUACCUUAUAAAGGUAUGAAGGCAGCCUACCCCAUCCUCACCUGUAUAUACCUUAUAAAGGUAUGAAGGCAGCCUACCCCAUCCUCACCUGUAUAUACCUUAUAAAGGUAUGAAGGUAGCCUACCCCAUCCUCACCUGUAUAUACCUUAUAAAGGUAUGAAGGCAGCCUACCCCAUCCUCACCUGUAUACACUUUAUAAAGGUAUGAAGGCAGCCUACCCCAUCCUCACCUGUAUACACUUUAUAAAGGUAUGAAGGCAGCCUACCCCAUCCUCACCUGUAUACACUUUAUAAAGGUAUGAAGGCAGCCUACCCCAUCCUCACCUGU